rnacentral:rRNA from 1 species
GAUGAACGCUAGCGGCAGGCCUAACACAUGCAAGUCGAGGGGUAGAGUUCUUCGGAACUUGAGACCGGCGCACGGGUGCGUAACGCGUAUGCAAUCUACCUUAUACAGGGGAAUAGCCCAGAGAAAUUUGGAUUAAUGCCCCAUGGUAUUAUAGAGUGGCAUCACUUUAUAAUUAAAGUUCCAACGGUAUAAGAUGAGCAUGCGUCCCAUUAGUUAGUUGGUAAGGUAACGGCUUACCAAGACAAUGAUGGGUAGGGGUCCUGAGAGGGAGAUCCCCCACACUGGUACUGAGACACGGACCAGACUCCUACGGGAGGCAGCAGUGAGGAAUAUUGGUCAAUGGGCGCAAGCCUGAACCAGCAAUGCCGCGUGCAGGAAGAAGGCC